AUGUGGAUUGUCCUCUGAAAUGCGUGUGAUCCAAACACACUCAUAAACAACAGACAACCUCAACAAGUGCGUCCUCCAUCUCUGCUUGAGGCGGCUGCUCCACUGAUAACUCCUUCAGGGUGCUCCUCACGGGAGCGCCUGCACCUCAUAACCCAGGAGUCAAGAGGAGCAACUCCACAGACACUCACUGAAGCGACUCCAUCCACUUCGGUCUGAUUCUCCCCCCUCGGAGGUCUUUGCCUUGGGUGUCAGCAGCACACAGCCCACUGCACACACUGCACACACUGAUUGGUCUUAUUGAUGUGUGCUCAGAAGCUCACCACCAUUUUGGAUGUGACCAUGAGGACUGGGGCAGGCGGUGCAGACAGAGAGGUUCUCCCCAUGUGACCUCCACUCCCGGGAGCCGGAGGGAAACGCCAGGAAGGCCAACAGAGCAAUUUAAGACUGAAGCUCAGACAGAGAGAGAGGGCGCUGACCCAGAGUGAGGCUGGUAGUGGAGCUAAUCAGCCCAUCAGGCGCUCCAGCACAGACAGGAGCCGCAGGUCCCAGGCCAGGAUACGCCCUGGUGUGGGGGAGGUCCCAGCCUGAGUGCGAGUGAGUGGGGCCUCAGAGAGAGGAAGAGGGGUGGCAGUGGCCCCCGGAGGAGCCCCACCAUGAUGGAGAAGCUGGAGCCCGCUGCUGCUGCCGUCCGCUCCCCCAGCCCCCAGCCCUGCUCCAUGCUGCUCUCAGCCCUCUCUCCUCCUCCUGCCCUGCGGGGGACGCAUCGCCUGCCCAGUACCCCCAGCAGCAGCAGCAGCAGCAGCAGCAGCAGCAGCAGCAGUGGUGCCGGUAGCCCACUGGUGACAAAUGGAGGAGGGAGCCAGGGGGACACGCAAGACGGGCGCGCCGACACCGAAUCCGCACCUGAGCCCGUUGCCAUGGCAACGGAUGCCAAGGAAGAGGAGGAGGAGGAAGAGCAGGUCAGGAAGAAGGAGGAUGGGGACUCCCAGCCCGAUGCCACGGAGUCGACGUUGACACCUCCUCCUCCUCCUCCUCCUCCUCCUCCUCCACCACCACCCAGCCUGGUGCCUUUCGUUGCUGAGCCACAAGUGACCACAACCUCCCCUCACACACUGACUCCUUCCACCCCCACCUCCACCUCCACCUCCACCUCCUCACCUUGCCCAUCCACUUCUUCCUUGGCGCCAGCCUCUCUCCCCCUACCCCCCAACAUCCCCGUCAUCAGCCUGGGCCACAGUAAGCCCCCUCUCCCCUCCCUCCGCCUGCCGCCCCCACAGCUGACCACCCUCCACCCCAUCCCCACCCUGCCUCACGGACCCCCAGACGGACGCCUCACCCAGCUCACCGCCAUGCCCGGGGGCAACGCAGCCGGCAACAUGCCCCCGUCGGGACCCAUGCUGCCUGGAGGAUACCACAUCCUCAACAGUUCAUUCCUGGGUCCGCCUGGCAGUUAUGGUAUCUUUGGGAAUAAUCGCAUCAAGAGAAGACCAUCCUCACAUUUUGAAAUGGAGCUCCCUGAAAGUAUGUAAUGUCUGAGUUUGUAUGUGUGUGUGUGGGAUGUUGGGACAACCAGGGGUUCCCAUUGUUUUCCUGUUGAAAGGGCUACAUAUAUGAGGGAGAAAGUCCAAAUGUUAGAGCCAUUGGGACACUAUGUAUCACAUUACAGACACUUUUGCAAGAGGGGGGUCAACAUUUUGGAGCAAGUUAAGAGGUUUCAUAAAGCUGCAUAGAAAUGCUGUAUCUUCAUAUUUUUUCUGAUGGGGACAGAUAUGUACUUUGUGCACAAGCUUGUGGGGUUCGUAUCAUACAGUCACUCAAACAUGGAAAAAACACAUUGUGACAUAGCUUGAGUUUUUUUUUGCCUUGCUCUAAAAAUGUUGUUCUCUUACUUUAUAACAAACCUUUGUGGGUAUCUGUGCAGUUUCAAGGUGGUGUAAUCGGUCAGAAACUGGCCUGUAAUGAUGAAUCUAGAAUGAAAAUUUAGCAAAUUUAGCAUAUUUCAAAAAGAAAAAAAACUUAAUGGGGGAUACAUGGUACAGAAAUGUCAUAUCAAUUCCCAUAAAUAACACAAUCUGGUGUAUAGAUCAUGUACAAUUUUAAGAUUAUUUUUCAAUUUAAUUUAUUUUAAAUUCAUGAAAUUCCGCACAAAAUAUUAUUUUCGUAGUUAAAAUGACCUACUUAUUAAAGGCUAGACUCCACAUAAAUACAUUCCGAUAGUCACCUUUCACCUAAACAUGAACCUUUUUAAAUGUUGUGUUAGAUGGAGGGAAACUAUUUAGUAAAGGUGUAAGAACUUUUAUUUCAAAUUCACUGUAACAGAACCUUUAUAACCAAAAUAGUUAUAACUCAAAAUAUAGUGGUGAGCAAAUCGGGUGCGUCCUGAAUUUGGUACAUUGUUAUAACUGUCAGUGGGGCCUGUCCUGUGGUGUAGAAUAUGAUGCAUCUUUCAUAGUCAACAAUCUCACACUUACUCCAAUGCACUCACAAUCUCACACUUACUCCAAUGCACUCACAAUCUCACACUUACUCAAAUGCACUCACAAUCUCACACUCACUCAAAUGCACUCACAAUCUCACACUUACUCAAAUGUACUAACAAUCUCACACUCACUCACACACAUUAAAUCACUAACACUCACUCACACUGUAAAUCACUCACAUUCACACACUCACACAGACACUAAAUCACUCACUCACACACACAUACUCACUCACACUCACACUCACUCUCACACAGACACGAAAUCACUCACUCUCACACACUCAUACAGACACUAAAUCACUCACUCACACACACAUACUCACUCACACUCUCACACUCACACUCACUCUCACACACUCACAAAGACACUAAAUCACUCACACUCACACUCUCAGGUAUUCAUUGCACGCUUUCACCAAACAGUCCAAGACAAUGAGCAUGUGACCGGCACAAACAAUUUCACAUGAUGUGCCCCAAGUCUCAUUAAAAUCAAAUCAAAAUGGUGGGAAGAAUAACAAAUGGGCGGUGGGGGUGUAGGCUUUGUGGAGGAGGACACUUGAACACACCCUACCUGGCCCACAGCAGGGCAUCUGGAGGUGCAGAGAGUAGAGAGGAGUCGAGAGGAGAGUAAAAUGCAUAUUCUCUAAAAAUGAAACAUACUGUAUUUAUGCAGCUGUAAAGGCAGAAAUAAAUGGGUGACUUGAAGCGUAUUCUACA
rnacentral:lncRNA from 1 species